UACAGAGGUGGCAAGCGUUGUUCGGAAUUACUGGGCGUAAAGGGCGCGAGUAGGCGGCCUUCUAAGUCAGACGUGAAAAUCCCCCCGGCUUAACCUGGGGAAACUGCGGUCUGAACUACUGGGGAGGCUUAGAGUAUGGGAGAGGGAUGUAGAAUUCCAGGUGUAGCGGUAGAAAUGCGUAGAUAUCGGUAGGAACACCAGUGGGCGAAGGCGGUCUCCUGGGGCGAUUUCUUGACGCUGAGGCGCGAAAGCGUGGGGAGCGAAACAGG
rnacentral:rRNA from 1 species